rnacentral:misc_RNA from 1 species
CCGAGUACCGGAGCUCUCGGGUUCCUACUCCCACCCCAUGUUGACUUUAAUGUUGCUUUGGCGGACCGGUUAAGACCACCGGCCCCAGGCUGGACAGUGUCCGCCAGAGGAUUCUUAAAUACUCUUAAUUGUAAAUUCUGAGUUUUUGAAAAUUGAAUCA